rnacentral:rRNA from 1 species
UACGUAGGUGGCGAGCGUUGUCCGGAAUUCUGGGUGUAAAGCGCGUGUAGGCGGGAGGCCAAGUCUGCUGUGAAAUCGCCCGGCUCAACUGGGCGGGGUCGGUGGAAACUGGUCACCUGGAGGACGGUAGAGGCGAGUGGAAUUCCCGGUGUAGUGGUGAAAUGCGUAGAGAUCGGGGAGGAACACCAGUGGCGAAGGCGGCUCGCUGGGCCGGCCCUGGACGCUGAG